AAAACGCAUGCAACCUUCCACCUUGAAGAACAGCACCACAUCAUCUCUUUGCUAAGCCUGAUUCCCGUUUUCUGGAUAGGAAACUGACACACAAAGUAUCUCCAGAAUCAUAUCAGAGGGUCCCGGUGAACAUCAAAUGAAGAACUAUGUGUAAGCGCCAGGUACAGUGUACCUGGCACGUAUUAGGUUUUAAUAAACGGCAACCAACUCUGACUAACGGUUGUCCCUGGGGAACACCUGCCAGGCACAGAGGGAGGCCCUACGGAGGCGCAGGGCAGAACUGGGCAGCAGCCGUCUAGGGAAGUGGCGGCGGAUUAGAGAAACGGGCGGCCAGGCACAGGCACCCCCUACGAGUGAGAUCUGGCCCCUCGAGCCAGAUCUCCAGCCAGAUGCCUCCAGCAUCUGCUGCCGCGGAGAGCACGCACCAGGUCCCUCCUGCCCGGCAACAGGCGCACUCCGAGCGAGCCCAGCGCCUCUGCUCACCAUGCCAGGUCCCGCUGCCAGAGGCCUAGAGGAGAAGCCCAGCUAGGGGCCGGCGUCUGGACGCCCGUGUCCCGACUGCGCGGGACUCUGCACUCUGAUGGAUCCAGUGGCGCCACCCAGACCAGUAAACUGGCUCCUCUGGUCUUGUGGCCACCAUCCAGGAGCUGACUCAGAGCAAGAGGACAGCCUGGACUCCCUGUGAUUUCAUCCUCAACCCAACCAAUCAGCACUCCCCAUUCCCUAGCCCCCUGCCUGCAAGACUGUGUUUCAGGGAGGCUAAUGUGAGUAAUAAUAAAGCUUCAGUCUUCCAUUUAGCCUGCUCUAUGUGUAUUAAACUCUUCCAUUCAGCCAACUCUGCAC
rnacentral:lncRNA from 1 species